UAUAACUGUUAAAUGCAACACUGCUGAUUGAAGAACAUUUAUAUGGGUCAGAAGACUUUAAGUUAAUCAGAGUAAUGAGUUCAUGAUUAUCUUUUGCAGGAUAGUUUAUUUAGGUAACUUUUUUUAUAUGGCUCUGAUUUCUAAAGCUCAAAGCAUUCAAUUCAUAUAGUUUCUUAAAUGCAUACAUUAAAGAUCAAGAACUAAAGAUUUCUGGUUUCACAUGUAAGGAGUUCAGAAGUGAUUAUUCCAUCCUAAUGAGUAAAUGGACUGAAAAAUCACAACUCUUCUUGGAUCCAUAAGAAAGCCAAACAGCACAAGAGGAACACCCCAUAUCCAAGCAAAAGAUAAACCACUUAGCAUCAGUCAAACCUACCAGACACUGAAGGACUAAUAAUGAUAAGGGCUGUCUGAAAAUGCAAUCUGAGAAAAGAUGGAAAAAAAACAAAGAACCACAAAACCACAUACAGCUGCUCUGCACGAAGAGCGUGAGGCUCCUUAUCAAGUCCAAGUUGGUGAGAAGGUGUACUGUGAACAAGCGUUGUGAUCUGGACUCAUGCUGAUGCUGGAAGCUGUGUCUGAGACCACAGAGUUCACCACCAGCAAUUUUGAUGGCUCUAACAGGAUUCUGUUUAAAGUGAUUUUUCUGGUCAAUGGUGGAACAUUUCUGCUAUUAAUUCCUGGAACAGAACCUUUUCUAUGUCUCAAUCUCCUGGAGAAGUCACUUGGAGCUACACUGACUUGUUAAUUAUUUUCACUAGCUCUUUCUGGAUAUCCUUGUCUGAUUGGGAAGGCAGUAUAUUGUAUCUUCUUUCAGUUUUGAUUAGACUGUAAUUCCCUCUAGAGUUUAAG